AUGGUAGGGUCCACUAGCUGUACAAAGAACUCGUGGAAUUUGAUCAGGAAUGUUGGAGUCCCUGUGUAUAUUUGGAUCCACAGCAAGAUGGCUUUCAUACAGGUGAUUUAUAUACUCCUAUCUAAUAGAAACUACCAUUACAGAGAACAAAAAAAACCCCAGAACCCACAAACGAAAAUAAGAAACCCAAAUUCUAUUAUGACAUAGCAGCGACCUCUCACACAUUCAUCCCAUGGCAGAAUUCCAAAAUAAUGGCAUGAUUCAAAUCCCACUGCAACCAAUGAAACAUUUGCUCUUGUUUUACUUAAUAUUGAACCAUCAGGUGGAAUUGGUUUGAAUUUGGCUAGGCAUUGGCUGACAACAAGGUGUGCUCUCAUUUGCUUUCAUUAUUUGAUGUAUUAAGGUACAGUAAGGGGAAAAAAAUCACAGCACAAAAAAAAAAAAAAAGAAAAAAUUUUACUAGAUUUUUACAUUUAGUAAAUGGUACUUAAACUCCAUGGACAUGAAAGUAGUUUUAAACUUUACCUUCGAAAUUUUACUUUUUUCAAUAUUUCAUAGAAAAGAAACGCUCUAAGAUACUGUUUCAGACCACAGAAUUAUUACAGAACAUAAAGAUUAUAUGCAAGGGCUUAAUCCUUUUCCCAACAAAGAUGGUGGCCAACACCAUUUGAACUCCCAUGGGACAGGGGUCAGCUGAGAAUGUGCCAUGUUCCUAAUUGGAAAUCUCCUUUGUGACAAAAGAGUCUUCUGGCAUACACUUUGCCUUUGUAAUUUGAAUUCUAUCAACAACUAUUCCUAGCCACAAGAGAAAUAUUUUUAGGCAAUAUAUUUGUAUAGUUUCACAAAACUAUGUUAAAGAGAGAUGUGUGGGUGUUUUUGUGUGUGAGUGUAUGUAUUUAUGUAUGUAUGUAUACAUAUUUAUGAGCUUGGGAUGAUUUUCUUAAAAUACUUAACUUCACUUACAUUAUAUCUUACAUUGCAAAAUGUACAGACACCCAGUGUUCUUUUUUAACAACAUAUACAGGUGAAUUUAUAGAGCCUUAUAAAAGAUUUUGUGAUUCCAAAUUAAAAACCAUAGAAACAUAACCAAAGUAAUGGAGAGUGGUUUAUACCUCUGAUAGUACAUAGCGCUCAUUGGGGUAAUAUUGACAGCUGCAUCUUUGGCAUUGAAAAUUCCUCACGACUUUUUAGACAAAAUGUUGUUGCU
rnacentral:lncRNA from 1 species